rnacentral:lncRNA from 10 species
UGGCAGGCCACUACGCAUGCGGACAGCCCACUCCAAGGAAGGCUCACUGGAGAAGAGACGCAACCUCUGGAAGCUUGCCAACAUAUUAAACCCCAAGUCAAAGGCUAAACCACACACUUGAAUCUCUCAAGUUGCUCAUUUGGCCCUCUUCCAGGUUAGGCUUGAGUCUGCAUCCCAUGCCAACUUUGGAGAAGAAAGAUUCUUCUUUGUUUGAACUGCAGAUCUCUUCCUUUGGCUUCUUGCUAUCUCUAAAUCUGCAGACCCUGUGCAAAUGGAAUCCGCUGAGAAGGCUUUGACUAUAUAGGGUGCUGGCAGAUGCUUACACUUUCUUAUUUAGGCAAAUUGGACAAUCACAAAAAUGCAAAGACGGGAAAGAUGGUAUGGCUUUUGGCAAUGUAAGUGGAAAAUAAAACUGUGCCGGCUGAAAUGGUUUCUUUCUGUAGGUAUAAUAUUUCUUUUAAAAAGUCUGAAAGAGCUCAUAUAUGGCAAAAAAAAUGUAUCUCCACAUUUUUCUCUAUGCCAAUCA